rnacentral:rRNA from 1 species
UACGUAGGCAGCGAGCGUUGUUCGGAGUUACUGGGCGUAAAGGGUGCGUAGGCGGCCCUGUAAGUCAGCGGUGAAAUACGGCAGCUCAACUGUCGAGGUGCCGUUGAUACUGCGGGGCUUGAGUGUUGAUGAGGCAGGCGGAAUUGACGGUGUAGCGGUGAAAUGCUUAGAUAUCGUCAAGAACACCGAUAGCGAAGGCAGCUUGCCAAGCAACAACUGACGCUGAGGCACGAAAGUGCGGGGAUCAAACAGG